UUUAACGGCCGCGGUAUUCUGACCGUGCAAAGGUAGCAUAAUCAUUAGUCUUUUAAUAGAGGGCUGGAAUGAAGGGUUUGACGAGGUGUUGACUGUCUCAUUUAAUUUGAAUUUAGAAUUUAACUUUUUAGUCAAAAGGCUGAAAUAGUAUUGGAAGACGAGAAGACCCUAUAGAGCUUUAUAAUAUUUUUUUAAUAAUUUUGGUAAAUGAUUAUUUAUUAUUAUAUCUAUUAUUUUGUUGGGGUGACAAAAAUAUAUAAUGAACUUUUUUAUUUAUUUAACAUUGAUUUAUGAUUAUUAGAUCCAAUUUUAUUGAUUAUUAGAACAAGUUACCUUAGGGAUAACAGCGUAAUCUUCUUUCAGAGUUCAUAUUUACAAGAAGGCUUGCGACCUCGAUGUUGGAUUAAGAUGAUAAUUAGGUGUAGCUGCUUAAUGUAUAGGUCUGUUCGACCUUUAAAUUCUUACAUGAUCUGA
rnacentral:rRNA from 1 species